UUAUGGAGAGUUUGAUCCUGGCUCAGGAUGAACGCUGGCGGCGUGCCUAAUACAUGCAAGUCGAGCGAACAGAUGAGAAGCUUGCUUCUCUGAUGUUAGCGGCGGACGGGUGAGUAACACGUGGGUAACCUACCUAUAAGACUGGGAUAACUCCGGGAAACCGGGGCUAAUACCUGAUAAUAUUUUGAACCGCAUGGUUCGAUAGUGAAAGGCGGCUUCGGCUGUCACUUAUAGAUGGACCCGCGCCGUAUUAGCUAGUUGGUAAGGUAAUGGCUUACCAAGGCGACGAUACGUAGCCGACCUGAGAGGGUGAUCGGCCACACUGGAACUGAGACACGGUCCAGACUCCUACGGGAGGCAGCAGUAGGGAAUCUUCCGCAAUGGGCGAAAGCCUGACGGAGCAACGCCGCGUGAGUGAUGAAGGUUUUCGGAUCGUAAAACUCUGUUGUUAGGGAAGAACAAAUUUGUUAGUAACUGAACAAGUCUUGACGGUACCUAACCAGAAAGCCACGGCUAACUACGUGCCAGCAGCCGCGGUAAUACGU
rnacentral:rRNA from 2 species